ACCACUACAAAAUGGCGUAUUCACUAUAUAGUGAAUAGGGAGUGAUUUCGGACACAGCCUCUGUCGUUUUUAUUAGCACUAGAAACAAGCUAACACCCUAGCUAAGCCAACUGAUUGAAAAGGUCAGGCCCGCCCACUUUUUGUCGACGGAGGUCAUGUAGAAACGAGGGAUGAACAGAAAUCUCAGAAGUGACUUCAUGUUUUCUGUCAGUGCUGCUAUUUUGGUGCUUUUAAACCGUAGCCUAACACUCUCUACAAGCCAGGUCCGUCGAAAUGUAUGUUUUGUUUUUAAGUGGAAGGUGGAAGAGGUUCACCUGGAGAUAUACUAACCCCCGACAGGGACCCUGUGACUGCAGCCAUAGAAGAGAGAGCUACUGCAGUGUUAGAAUUUCUCCUUGGGCCACAGUUCGGUGGCGCUGUGGGGGGAGCGUGCUGCCUGGAUCUCCUUCACAGGCUGCUGAAGGCUGCAUAGCAGAAGCCCGGUUGAAUGGCACCGGAAAAGGGCAGCGGGCGAACUGCAUUCACUCCCUGUUCACGUAAUGAAAGGCGCAGACGAAGAACGAGGUGCAGGCUGCAGAGACCGAACACGUCUUUGUAACACAUUUGCCCAAGAGGUUUUGCCAUGUGUGGCCUGUGCAGCAUGCCCUCCCCAACACAGCAGGUGCUCCGCCCCUCCCACCAGAGCAGCUCUCACUUUAAUUUAAGUGCAGAGCAGAGGGAGCCACUGAAUGACUCCAGCUUGUUUGAAGAGGAAGAGAGACAAAGGUGAUGGAAAAGCAGCAGCUGGUUAACAAAAAAGGUAGAACAACUGGCGAUGCUGCGAAAAAAAAACAUGAUUCAUGUCAGAAUCAUGCAUGUUAAUGUCAGUGAUUCUGAAUCUAUUCAAAAUUUCCAAGAAUCAAUAUUGUAAACAUACUUUAUCACAUCCUAAGUGUAUUUUCAACCUCAGACCCGCUUCCUCUGGGUGCUGUCUUAGACACAGGUGCUGCAGCAGAUGUACGGCUUGUUAACUGCACUGUUAGCAUUAGCAGCGCUAGCUCUUAGUGUUGGUAAUGUUUACAGUGCUGUAUCUGACACACAUACUUACACACUGCACUGUCUGACCUGCACAGAUUUCUGUGCUAAACUAAACUAAUGUAGCCAACUUCAGGAAUGGUUCAUAUGCCCAAACUAACAUCAUACAGACACAUUCACCUGGAGCGAAUAGCAACUGACAGCUGCUGAUCAGCACAGACUAUAAAAAUAACUGGACCUAUCAUCUGUUUCAUGUCAAUUGACUGGUGUUAUGGUUCAACAAGUGACCAUGUUAACUGGUGACUGUAUGAAUGCAUCUGAUAAUAGAUAUCAAAACCGUGGAGAGCCUCUUGGUUUAGUUUUUUAAUAAAUGAUAUCUCCUAAGCAUAUCUUAGACAUUACAGAAAACCACAGAAAAUGUGGUUUAACAGUGUUGUAAUUACAACAAGCACUGACACUUUCAACUUAAAAGUCACCAGUUAACACGGCCACAUGUUAAAACAUAACACCUGCUCUUCAACAGUGACGACUUGGGAUUUAUGAUUGUUUUUUUUCUGCUGAUUGUCCGAUAAAAACAUUUCCUGCUUAAGCCCACACAUUUUAUUCAUAUUAAA